rnacentral:rRNA from 1 species
GAUGAACGCUAGCGGCAGGCCUAAUACAUGCAAGUCGGACGGGAUCCAUUGAUAGCUUGCUAUCCAUGGUGAGAGUGGCGCACGGGUGCGUAACGCGUGAGCAACCUGCCUCCAUCAGGGGGAUAGCCUCUCGAAAGAGAGAUUAACACCGCAUAAUAUCAACAGUUCGCAUGUUCAGUUGAUUAAAUAUUUAUAGGAUGGAGAUGGGCUCGCGUGACAUUAGCUAGUUGGUAGGGUAACGGCUUACCAAGGCGACGAUGUCUAGGGGCUCUGAGAGGAGAAUCCCCCACACUGGUACUGAGACACGGACCAGACUCCUACGGGAGGCAGCAGUAAGGAAUAUUGGUCAAUGGGCGGAAGCCUGAACCAGCCAUGCCGCGUGCAGGAUGACUGCCCUAUGGGUUGUAAACUGCUUUUGACCAGGAAUAAACCUAAAUACGAGUAUUUAGCUGAAUGUACUGGAAGAAUAAGGAUCGGCUAACUCCGUG